GACGAACGCUGGCGGCGUGCUUAACACAUGCAAGUCGAACGGAAAGGCCCUGCUUUUGUGGGGUGCUCGAGUGGCGAACGGGUGAGUAACCCUUGGGUAACCUGCCCUUGACUUUGGGAUAACUUCAGGAAACUGGGGCUAAUACCGGAUAGGAGCUCCUGCUGCAUGGUGGGGGUUGGAAAGUUUCGGCGGUUGGUGAUGGACUCGCGGCUUAUCAGCUUGUUGGUGGGGUAGUGGCUUACCAAGGCUUUGACGAGUAGCCGUCCUGCGAGGGUGACCGGAUACAUUGGGACUGAGAUACGGCACAGACUCCUACGGGAGGGAGCAGUGGGGAAUAUUGCAUAAUGGGCGGAAGCCUGAUGCAGCAACGCCGCGUGCGGGAUGACGGCCUGCGGGUUGUAAACCGCUUUCGCCUGUGACGAAGCGUGAGUGACGGUAAUGGGUAAAGAAGCACCGGCUAACUACGUG
rnacentral:rRNA from 1 species